GGAUCGUGAACGAGUUGGAACAAGCAGCAGGCAAAAACAUAAAUUCACUCACACAGCUGGGUCGAAAAGUUUUGCUUGUGUAGCUGAGGCCGAGGAACUGUCGUCUGGUCAAAAAGUUGGACGCCUUUAGCUUUUUGACAUUACACAUAAGAAGAAAGAUGGAUCUCCUAUGACUUCUGAAGCUGCAGAAAUUAUGGAGAAACUAAAGGAUAAAAAGGCGGAGUAUGAAGCGAUUACUUCGAGUGAUAGUUUUGUUCAUCUUGACGACAUUGAUAACUAGAUUAUUACUGAAGUUUUGGGUCCUGAAAGGUAUGGUGGGGUUCGAUUUCAAGGAUCUUUUGUUAACCCAACCCAAUAUUUUGGAUCCAGCUCACAACAAUACAUGCCUUCGGGGAGUCAGGCUCAAGAUGAAGUUCAGAAGUUAAGAGACCAGA